ACACCUCCGAGCCCAGCCCAACGUAGGAUUAGGGUAAGGCCCCGUCGCACGCCUGCCUGCACGGCCGCACCGCGCCACCGUCCCACGCGUUGCGCCUCCGCGCGCGGCGCCCGCCCGGUCUCCUCUCCUCCAGCCUCCAGCCGUUGCCGCAGGCAAGCCCUCCGAGGGCUCAAGCCCACCACGCGCGACGCCCCCCCCCCCCCCCCCCCCCCCACACACACACACACUCCUUGAGCUGCGGCCUGGUGGCUCUUGAGUUGCGACAAACCGAUGAUGCCGCCCACCGGAGAAGCUCCUGCUGGAUCCAUGCCCUUGCGGCAAGGCCACUUCGUCGUGGAGCCGCCGCCGGGACCUGCUGUCAACGCCAACCCCUCCAGUACAGAUGGCACGAGAUUUGAUGCAUCACAGUAUGUUUUUUUUGGCAAUAAUGUGCUGGAGGAGGUGGAACUAGGUGGACUGGAAGAUGAUAAUGACAGUGAUGCUGCUUUCAUUGGACUCAAUGAUGUAGAGCGCCCACUUUCUUCUCAAGGAAAUGUACUAGAGCUGAGAAGAGAUGUCAACCUACCGAACCAUAUUGGAAUAAAUAGCCUGGAUACUUCUUUUUCAAGAGAAAGUUCUGCUGCUGCUAACUGGACUCCAGAAUUUGAAUCCCCACCCUGGCCCAAUCAAUAUGUGCUAGAUGCAAGGCAAGGGCACGAUAGCAAUGACUGGUGGCCUCCACAACAUCAUUCUUCUCGCUUUGCUGAUUCCAGAUUACACAGGACAUCCUCAUCCCCUCAGCAACAGGAACAACACAAUGAACCUGUUCUUGGACCAAGGCCAUCUCCUUUGCACAGGACAUCCUCAUACCCACACAAUGAACCUCAAUACAAUCCUGCUGAAGCCAUUCCUGCUCCAAAUGCACCAUACAAUUCACACAAUCCGCCUGGUGGACCACCCAAUUCAUUGCUUGGGCAAGCGCAUCAGAUGAACAUGUCAUCUCGCAAUGAAUUUCAGAUGCAUAUGUCUGCCCAAAGUGAUGACCCGUUCUCCCAGUUUCCUCAUGGAGGGCCACCUCCAGAGCCCUUUGGUGGAAACCUGGGUCAUAUGGUUUCAACAGGCUUCUCAACAAACAGCAGUGGACCAAAAAAUCUUAUGCUGAAUAAUGGACAGAUUCAUGGGGAAAUUGUCAGUAUCGUGCCGAAUUCGGUGCCGAACCAUCUACAACGUCCUAAUGCAUUCAUGCCCCCUCAAAUGCUGCCGAUGCGCAAACAGCAUGGCAUGCUCCCAGCUCAGCAAUCUCCGCAACACUUAUCAAGAACUCAAGCACAUAUGUUUGGCCUCCAGGCUCCAGCAUCCACCACAGAUGAUGAAUAGGUUUGAUAAUUUUGGGGUGCCUGAGUUCAGCGAUCCAAGGGCAAGAUCAUCAUUGCACCAUGGAAGGCAAGGUCACCAUUUUGCUCUCCAAGGCUCUGAAUUUGGUAUUAUGAGGAUGGGUAAUGGCCUAAUGGGAGGCCACGGUUUAGAUCCAAGUAUAUGUCCACUGAAGAACUUGAAAACAUUUCAAGAAUACAGCAUGCUGCCACUCACAUAAAUGAUCCAUACAUUGAUGAUUAAUUGAUUAUUACCAUCAAGCUUGUCUGGCCAGAAGAUCUGUGGAUGCAAGGUUGAAGCACCACUUCUGUCCCACCUUGAUAUUGGAUCCAUCUUCUCGUGCACGCAGUAAGGAUGAGCCGCAUGCAUACCUAAAGGUCGAUGCCCUUGGGAGGCUGCCAUUUUCUUCCAUCCGGAGGCCACGUCCACUUCUUGAUGUUGAACCAGCUUCUACAACUGAGGAUAGCACUCUUGUUUCAAAGUCUCUUGAUCAGGAACCUAUGCUAGCUGCUAGGAUCACAAUUGAGGAUGGCCUCUCCUUACUACUUGAUAUAGAUGAUAUUGAUCGCUUGCUUCAGUUUAGCCAGCAGCAAGAUGGUGGUUUGCAACUUAGAAACAGAAGGCAGACUCUGCUUGGUCAGCUGGCAGAAUCACUGCAGUUGGUUGAUCCACUAGGUGCAAAUAAGAAUAGACAUUUGUCAGCAAAUGAUGAUUUGGUAUUUCUUCGCAUUGUUUCUCUACCCAAGGGUCGGAAGCUACUUUCACGCUAUAUCAACCUCAUGGUUCCCGGUAGUGAUCUUGCACGGAUAGCUUGUAUGGCAGUGUUCCGGCAUCUGAGGUUUGUGUUUGGCAAUUUGCCCUCUGAUGAUGGCUCAGCACAGACAGUAACUAAGCUAGCCAAUGCUGUAGCUGCAUGCAUACGUGGGAUGGACUUAAGUGGCCUCAGUGCUUGUCUUGCAGCAAUUGUAUGCUCGUCAGAGCAUCCACCUCUUCGACCCCUUGGAUACACUGCUGGCGAUGGUGCCACCGUCAUCAUAAAGUCUGUCCUGGAUAGGGCAACAGAGCUUCUCACCGAGCAGCUUCCUGCAUCAAAUUACAACAGAGCCCUAUGGCAGGCAUCGUUUAAUGCUUUCUUUGGGCUGCUUACAAAGUACUGCAUAGGUAAAUUUGACAGCCUAGUUCAUACAACACACACUGCAACAGCGAUAAGAAGGGAGCUGCCAAUUGAGCUUCUGCGUGCCAGUCUUCCUCAUACAGAUGAGCAACAGCGUGCACUAUUACUUGAGUUUGCCCAACGGACAGUGCCGGUCACUGGCCAUAGUUCUCAAAGGGCUCCUGGUCGAACCAUGGCAUCUGAAACAGUCCCAAGUUAAGGUGGUCAGCAGAGAUAAGUUGAAGCAUUAGAUAUGGGUUUUCUUCUAUGGUAUAAACGCCCAAUGAAUUGAACAUUCCUUGCGCCUGCCCCACCAGAAGAUAGACCAGGCUGGAGAUAUGACACGUACGUAAGAAGCACAAGCUACAUCUGAGCUUGGGGCAUCCUGGUAAUAUGGAUGUAUGUCCAAGGUUUGAAUUGAUUACUCCCUUAAGCUACAGUAUUUUCUCUGCAUUGUUGUAUCACACCACCAGUUGAAUUAGCAGGGUGCUUCCCUUCUGGACAGGGCUGUGUUUUGUUGCCCAUGGCCAUGGGAGGGAACUGAACAACUGCUAUUUCUAGGUUAGCAGCUGUACAGGUCUUUCCUUGAAGGCAAUGUCCAUCACAAGGAAGUGUUUCAAGGUGUAGUUGUUUUCGUUUGCAAUAGUUGUUAGAGGCAUGCAAGAUUCUUCUUUCACUUUGGAAUAUAAUAUGCUCAUGCCAAAACCCAUAACCCAUUGUUGGGAUAACCUGUACACUUGCCAAUGCUUGGAAAUUGGUCUUUUGGUUCUGUAGCCAUCUCAAGAUUGUUGUUUUUCCCCUCGUAUAUUCGUGUAAGUGAAUACAUUAGCUUAUGAAGCUGUCGAGUUUGUAAUGAGCUCAUUGAAUUUGGUUCCGGUGGUUCUGGGUUCUAACACAUCAAUAAGCUCUGUAUGACAUCUUGAUGCUCUGCUUCUGGGAAACUGAGAAUUGCUAUG